AGAUUAGAAGGUUUUGAUAUCGAAGUGGGAGUUGAUGAAGUGGUUUCCUGGCUGUGAAUGAAUGCAUGACCCCAGUUUAUCACCCAGGCUUCAUAAAGAAGUCUUCCUUACCUUCGAGAAAGCCCAACCAAGAGUGAAAAUGACAUUAGCAAAAAGCGAAGCAAAAGGGUUAAGGAAGAGUCUCAGCUUCCUUAGUUACCAGAUGGAACAGUAAGUAGGUGAGCUGAGCCUCGGAACUGCAGGCUUCUGCCACAGCGACAGACUCCUUUCUGAGGCUCUGAAGUUUAAAGAGGAUAAUUUGCACACAGCAAAAGGCACCUGAGUGUAAAGAUGGGUGAAUCUUGACAAAUGCAUACACGAAUGAAAUCCUUUAGGGGGUAGAGUUCCAUUACCCCUCAAAUUUCCUUCAUGCUCCUUGGCCUCCCACCGACUCGAGCAACCACUGUGUUGUGUUCUAUGACCGAUGGGAAGGCGUGCCCUGGGCCCUGCCUGGUGCCCUGUGAGGGCUGCCGAGUGCACUUGUGUCUCCUUUCCAAGGAAAGUCACAACCUCCUUUGGGUGACAGGAGCCCUCUCUCCCCAGGACGGCAGGAGCCAGACUGGCCUCACCGGGACCCAGAUCACCCUUCUGGGGACUUCCUGGAACGUCCAGUAUUGAGAUACCGCUGUUCCCCAGGCUUUGCGCCAGGAGCUUCUACCCUUGAUGCUUCGCGUCGUUAUCACAUCAGCUGGUGAUACAGGAAUUGAUAAGAUGAAAUCGCUAUGCAGCGGGAAAAUUCCACCUGUCCUGGGAGAAGAUUCUUAAAGGAAAAACCCAUUCAUGUUUUUUGAAAUUCUGCGGCCUGGAGGCAGAUCAUUACCUAUAUGAAACUGCUGGGUAGAAGAGAAGGAUACAGAGAUGGAUCCUCAGCCCUCGGUCUAGGGCUGCACCCAUGGCAGCAUACAGAUGUUCCCAGGCUGGGGGUCACAUCAGAGCUGCAGGUGCCAGCCGACACCACAGCAACAGCAACUCGGGAUCCGAGCCACGUCUGUGACCUACACCACAGCUCACAGCAAUGCCAGAUCCUUAACUUGCUGAGCGAGGCCAGGGAUCCAACCCACGUCCUCAUGGAUGCUAGUCAGAUUCAUCUCCACUGCGCCAUAACGGGAACUCCCCUUAGUCACUUCUGAGAGUUGGAAAUAAGAUGUGAAAAUGACAGCAAGGAGACCUGCCAAUGGAUACCCCUGUGGAGCCAGGGAGGGAGAGUCCUGCUGCUGCCCAGCCUUCGCAAGAGGAAAAUCACCAAGGCCACUUGAACGGAUCUCACAGAGAUCAUUCGACUUGAGAUGCUGCUCUAGAAGUUGACAUUGGGGCUGUCCAUUGAGAUGACAUUAGAGAUGCAAUGCCCUUCACACUCCCUGUGAACUUCCCAGCCUGAAGGCAAUUCCCCCGCUCAUCUCAUGGAGCAGAAUUUGUUCUCGGUAUGGAACAAAUUAAAAUAUUAGGCUCAGCUAAAAAA
rnacentral:lncRNA from 1 species